ensembl:lncRNA
CAGGCGGUCACCGAUCUGCGGGUACAGCACGUAGCCACCGGCAUCCAGGAACCUGCGGGGACAGUGUGACAUUGUGUGUGUGUGACACUGUGUGUGUGUGACACUGUGUGUGUGUGACACUGUGGGUACAGCACGUAGCCACCGGCAUCCAGGAACCUGCGGGGACAGUGUGACAAUGGGUGUGACACUGUGACACUGUGUGUGUGACAAUGGGUGUGACACUGUGACACUGUGUGUGUGACACUGCGGGUACAGCACGUAGCCACCAUCGUCCUGGAACCUGCGGGGACAGUGUGACAAUGGGUGUGACACUGUGACACUGUGUGUGACAUUGUGUGUGUGUGACACUGCCCCCCCCGGGCACACCAGGUCCAGGCGGUCACCGAUCUGCGGGUACAGCACAUAGCCACCAUCGUCCUGGAACCUGUGGGGACAGUGUGACAAUGGGUGUGACACUGUGUGUGACACUGUGUGUGUGACACUGCCCCCCCCGGGCACACCAGGUCCAGGCGGUCACCGAUCUGCGGGUACAGCACGUAGCCACCAUCGUCCUGGAACCUGCGGGGACAGUGUGACAAUGGGUGUGACAAUGGGUGUGACACUGUGUGUGACACUGUGACACUGUGUGUGUGACACUGUGUGUGACAUUGUGACACUGUGUGUGACAUUGUGUGUGUGUGACAAUGUGUGUGUGUGACACUGUGUGUGUGUGACACAGUGUGUGUGACACUGCGGGUACAGCACAUAGCCACCGGCAUCCAGGAACCUGUGGGGACAGUGUGACAAUGGGUGUGUGACACUGUGCGUGACAUUGUGUGUGUGUGACACUGUGUGUGUGACACUGCAGGUACAGCACAUAGCCACCAUCGUCCUGGAACCUGCGGGGACAGUGUGACAAUGGGUGUGACACUGUGUGUGACACUGUGUGUGUGUGACAUUGUGUGUGUCACUGUGUGUGACAUUGUGUGUGUGUGACACUGUGACACUGUGUGUGACAUUGUGUGUGUGACACUGCGGGUACAGCACGUAGCCACUGGCAUCCAGGAACCUGUGGGGACAGUUUGUGACAUCCUAUGUGACAGUGUGACACUGUGAUAUUCUAUGUGCGACAUCCUGUGUGUGACAUUGUGUGUGUGACACUGUGUGUGUGACACUGUGGGUACAGCACAUAGCCACCAUCAUCCUGGAACCUGUGGGCACAUGGGGACACUGUGUGUGACACUGUGUGUGACACUGUCACAGUCAGGGUGACACAGCAGAGGUGACACGAGGUGACACACUGUAUGUGUGUCACAGUGACAGGCGUGACACAGCAGGGACCUGUGACACUGCCACGGUGAGGGUGACACUGAGAGGGUGACACAGGGACAGGUGUGACACUGCCACCGAGGGGGUGACACCGUGAUGGUGACACCAUGGGGAUAACACAGUGACAGGUGAGACACAGCAGGGACGGGUGACAUUGACACCAUGACACUGACACUAUGGAGGUGACACAGGGACAGGUGUGACACUGACACCGUGAGGGUGACACCGUGAGGGUGACACUGUGUGAUACCACAAGAAGG